AGUGAACGCUGGCGGUAGGCCUAACACAUGCAAGUCGAACGGCAGCACAGUAAGAGCUUGCUCUUACGGGUGGCGAGUGGCGGACGGGUGAGGAAUACAUCGGAAUCUACUUUUUCGUGGGGGAUAACGUAGGGAAACUUACGCUAAUACCGCAUACGACCUACGGGUGAAAGCAGGGGAUCUUCGGACCUUGCGCGAUUGAAUGAGCCGAUGUCGGAUUAGCUAGUUGGCGGGGUAAAGGCCCACCAAGGCGACGAUCCGUAGCUGGUCUGAGAGGAUGAUCAACCACACUGGAACUGAGACACGGUCCAGACUCCUACGGGAGGCAGCAGUGGGGAAUAUUGGACAAUGGGCGCAAGCCUGAUCCAGCCAUACCGCGUGGGUGAAGAAGGCCUUCGGGUUUUAAAGCCCUUUUGUUGGGAAAGAAAAGCAGCAGGUUAAUACCCCGCUGUUCUGACGGUACCCAAAGAAUAAGCACCGGCUAACUUCGUG
rnacentral:rRNA from 1 species